AUGAACUUCCAGGACGUGUACACGCUCCAGCAAGCGCUUGACCAUGGCCCGCCGCCGCGUCUGAACACGGUACAAGACCAUGCAGAGCACGCCGAGUGGCAGCGCCGCCUCCUCGUCGCUCAGGAGGACGAGCGGGUCAUGGCGGAGUGGCGCGCCCGCCACCCGGAGGACGUCGCCUACGAGCAGGCCUACUGGGCAAGGCGUCGCGAGGAGGACACACUAAGGCGCCGCGAGGCGCGGUUGGAUAGGCGUCGGCGCAAGGCGUUGGCGAACGCGCAGUCCGAUCUCGUUGCAGCAGGUGGCCAGUUGUUCUUCACGGCGAACGAUGAUCGGUGGUUGGACAUCUGGCUGGAUACCUCAGACGACACCGCCGAGGAGAAUAAUGGUGAUGAUAGUGAUGAUAGCGACUUGGAGUAG
rnacentral:rRNA from 1 species